UACAGAGGGUGCAAGCGUUUAAUCGGAAUUACUGGGCGUAAAGCGCGCGUAGGUGGUUUGUUAAGUUGGAUGUGAAAUCCCCGGGCUCAACCUGGGAACUGCAUUCAAAACUGACAAGCUAGAGUAUGGUAGAGGGUGGUGGAAUUUCCUGUGUAGCGGUGAAAUGCGUAGAUAUAGGAAGGAACACCAGUGGCGAAGGCGACCACCUGGACUGAUACUGACACUGAGUGCGAAAGCGUGGGGAGCAAACAGG
rnacentral:rRNA from 1 species